ACGGAUCGUAACGUUCUCUGAGCAGUAGGAAGCAGGUUAUUCCUACAGAAACGGAUCGUAACGUUCUCUGAGCAGUAGGAAGCAGGUUAUUCCUACAGAAACGGAUCGUAACGUUCUCUGAGCAGUAGGAAGCAGGUUAUUCCUACAGAAACGGAUCGUAACGUUCUCUGAGCAGUAGGAAGCAGGUUAUUCCUACAGAAACGGAUCGUAACGUUCUCUAAGCAGUAGGAAGCAGGUUAUUCCUACAGAAACGGAUCGUAACGUUCUCUGAGCAGUAGGAAGCAGGUUAUUCCUACAGAAACGGAUCGUAACGUUCUCUGAGCAGUAGGAAGCAGGUUAUUCCUACAGAAACGGAUCGUAACGUUCUCUGAGCAGUAGGAAGCAGGUUAUUCCUACAGAAACGGAUCGUAACGUUCUCUGAGCAGUAGGAAGCAGGUUAUUCCUACAGAAACGGAUCGUAACGUUCUCUGAGCAGUAGGAAGCAGGUUAUUCCUACAGAAACGGAUCGUAACGUUCUCUAAGCAGUAGGAAGCAGAUUAUUCCUACAGAAACGGAUCGUAACGUUCUCUGAGCAGUAGGAAGCAGGUUAUUCCUACAGAAACGGAUCGUAACGUUCUCUGAGCAGUAGGAAGCAGAUUAUUCCUACAGAAACGGAUCGUAACGUUCUCUGAGCAGUAGGAAGCAGGUUAUUCCUACAGAAACGGAUCGUAACGUUCUCUGAGCAGUAGGAAGCAGGUUAUUCCUACAGAAACGGAUCGUAACGUUCUCUGAGCAGUAGGAAGCAGGUUAUUCAGUCAACCUUUUGAUCUGUUGUUGAUUAUGGUGAUGUUAUUUAUCAAAGUGCAGCUACUAAAAUGCUUAAACCUUUGGAUGCCAUCUCCCAUAAUGCCCUUCGUUUCGUUACAGGGGACAGUUGUAAUACUCAUCACUGCAUCCUCUAUCUAAAGGUUGGCUGGACUUCACUGAAGACCUCAUUCUAUCUCCCAUAAUGCCCUUCGUUUCGUAACAGGGGACAGUUGUAAUACUCAUCACUGCAUCCUCUAUCUAAAGGUUGGCUGGACUUCGUUAAAAAACCUGCAUCUCUACAUGACUCCCUUUUUGUUUACGAGGCCCUACUUCAUAAACUUCUUUCUUGUCUAACUUUGCUGUUGAAGUCUAGACACCGGAGUUGCCUAACUCGUUCACAGGGAUUGGUUAACUCUUAAAGUUCCCUAGGGUCUCCACCGAGCUAGAUAAAUCUGCUUUUAGUUUUAAUUCCAAAUACAUUUAACCUUGGUGUUCUGGUGCCGUUCGGCCUAUUUCAAGUUUUAAUUGACGACUUAUUUGUGGAGGAAUAUAACUGUUUUUCUGGGUGAUGUUUAAUUCCCCAUGACAGUGUUUUUGUAUUUUAGUGUGUAUCUGUUAUUUAAAAAAAAAAAGAAAUUACCAGGUAAGUUGACGGAGAACACAUUCUCAUUUGCAGCAACGACCUGGGGAUAUAGUUACAGGGGAGAGGAGGGAGAUUAAUGAGCCAAUUGUCAACUGGGGAUUAUUAGGUGACCGUGAUGGUUUGAAGGUCAAAUUGGGAAUUUAGCCAGGACACCGGGGUUAACACCCCUACUCUUACGAUAAGUGUCAUGUGAUCUUUGAUGACCUCAGAGAGUCAGGACACCGGGGUUAACACCCCUACUCUUACAAUAAGUGUCAUGUGAUCUUUAGUGACCUCAGAGAGUCAGGACACCGGGGUUAACACCCCUACUCUUACGAUAAGUGCCAUGUGAUCUUUAAUGACCUCAGAGAGUCAGGACACCAGGGUUAACACCCCUACUCUUACGAUAAGUGCCAUGGGAUCUUUAGUGACCACAGAGAGUCAGGACACCCGUUUAACGUCCCAUCUGAAAGACGGCACCCUACACAGGGCAGUGUCCCCAAUCACUGCCCUGGGGCAUUGAGAUAUUUUUUUUUUAGACCAGAGGAAAGAGUGCCUCCUACUGGGACUCCAACACCUCUUCCAGCAGCAUCUGGUCUCCCAUCCAGGGACCAACCAGGACCAACCCUGCUUAGGGUAUAUGUUUAGGUAUGUUUAGGUAUG